rnacentral:rRNA from 1 species
GAACGAACGCUGGCGGCGUGCCUAACACAUGCAAGUCGAACGAGAAUGCAGGCUUCGGUCUGCUAGUAAAGUGGCGCACGGGUGAGUAACACGUGGGUAACGUACAUCGUAGUGGGGAUAACCAGGUGAAGCUUGGCUAAUACCGCAUGAGUCCGUCGGGACGAAGGUUCUGACGGGGAAAGUGGAGCAAUCCACGCUACGAGAUCGGCCCGCGGCCCAUUAGCUAGUUGGUGAGGUAACGGCCCCACCAAGGCGACGAUGGGUAGCUGGUCUGAGAGGGAUGAUCAGCCACACUGGAACUGAGACACGGUCCAGACUCCUACGGGAGGCAGCAGUGGGGAAUUUUGCGCAAUGGGCGAAAGCCUGACGCAGCAACGCCGCGUGUGUGACGAAGGCCCUA